CUUUUUCCCCAUUUAUGUCAGUGGUCCUCAACCUUUUUUGUCUGGUGGGUGCCAGACAACGAGCCGUGGAGGACCAUAGCGGCGGACGAGCAUCCUCUGAAAUUCCGCCGACAAGCGGCAACAUCAAUAGGCAUUGCCACCAAAUUGCUACUGACAAGCAGCGGCAUCCAGAAGCAUCGCCGCCAAAAUAACGCCAAAAAUCGGCAGCAUUUUGGCAGCGACGCCUCUGGAUGACACAGCUUGUCGGUGGCAUUUCAGCG